AAUUUCCAACCAUUCCCGAAUGGCAUGGAAGCUGCUGGCAUCAUUCAGGGUUAUUUUGUGCUCUCCUGUCAUGGCUAAAAAGGUUGACUCCGAUUGUGACACAGAUCGAGUAACCUAAGACACAAUGGAUCAUGAAGACAGAGAUGGAGACUGAGGAACAAAACAAAAAAGUCUGUCACUCCACUCUGUCCAUACAUACUGCAGUGUGCGUGAUCAACUCAGUCAUGUGCUCUCACAAGUCUGGGCCGAUGCCUAAGGUAAAAAGAGGCUCUCCCCCUUGUUACAACGGGGUUGGUGCUUCUGCUUUGUACUGUAUACGAUGCUUGUGUAUCAUAAUGUAGCUGCUCCUUACCUGGUCCCCCUCAUCAAGCCUGCUUUGCUCUAUAAAAAAAAAAAACAAAAAAAAAUCAUCCUGUGAUGUUCUUCAAUGUUAUGCACUGUGUAAGACCAAACAAUCUUUCUCAGAUUAUGGAUCCUUACUCGUUCUGAUAAGAGUUGUUCAUGUCAGUGUUUCACAGAAUUCGGUGAAGAUAAAGAAACCCAGAAUCAUGUCAAUGUUUCACAGUCCUCAGCAGUAAACCAUAAAAAUGCUACUAAGAAAUCUGAAGCUGACGUUAAAUACAAACAUGUCAAACAACAAGAAUCUCUGAAAAUAUCUGCUUGAUCUAAAAUAAUACCAAGUUUAAAUUUUGUAGUGAAAAAUGCUUUAAAUGAAACAAAAAUUGGUAGAUUUUCACAAAUAUGGCCAACAGUUUUUUUUUCAGUGGUUGCAGUUCAGAAAAAUGUGCAGCAUAGUAUCACGUCUUUUUAAUUGUGGGGCUAAAAUAAUAUUCAUGAAAGGCAAAUUAUUGUCACUGUAUCUUUUUAAAUGGAGUUGUGUGUUAUAUGUAGAGUGUAAUUGCCUCCAUCAGUGGUCAAAGAGCACAGAGAAUCUGAGCUAAAGUUAAAACAGGACAGAACACAGAGCUGCGGAGUAGACAAUGCAGAGCAACACAGAGUUCAGAAAAUAGUGACAGAGAAAAUAGCAAUCUGAUGUGAAAGUGAAAUUGUGUGACACUAUUAAGACCUGAUUAAGUACACUGAGAAGAUAAAACUUGUAACAGAAAAGUCCAUUUGGCUACAUACAAAGACAAUAGAAAUAUGUUGGACAUGUUUGUGAAAAAAACUUUUUUUUAUUGCAUUUGGAAAAUCAUUUGGACACAUCCUUUGCCAUCAUUAUCACACUGUAUGGUUUUAUAACGUAGCCCUAAAAGUAAGGAAAUAUGUGUUAAGUGGAUUAUUUGUCCUCCUUGCUGGGACCUCUGUAGCGUGUGGAAGAUCCCUAUGAAGCCACAACAGCUUGUCACCUCCUCCUCAUUGUGGUCAUCAGACUGGCUACAUUUUGCUAUGGGAUGGCAUCCCAUUCCUCAACUAGGAGUUGCUGAACAUUACCCAGCAUGGUUGUGUCGGCCAUUUUGGCACAUACAACAUGCCCAUGCUGUGAUCGCAUAAAGUAUUCAGUUGGCUUGAGGUCAGGACUUAGAGCAGGUCACCCAGCCUCUUCUCUACCAACAUCUGGACGUACUCUGUGAUGAUCCUGGCUCUGUGGACAUACAUUCAUACAUUCUUAUACAACUAUCAGUUAGAUGCUAAUCAGGUCACAGUCAUACAUCUGAGACUGGUACACACCUGGCAGCACUUAAAUCCCAAAAGAAGAGUGAAUACCAACAGGAAAAUAUUGCAGGGACAUUUUCCCUAUUUUUAAGGGGGUACUACCCACACACUUAGCUGUGUUGCUCAUUUCACAAAUGCAUGAUAUAUCUCAUUUUAAAGGUGACUAAUCAGGCAUUCACACAAUGUAGAAUACAACAUCAUAUAGUAUUAUAAUUCACUAAACUCAAAUUUCCUUACUUUUUGUGCAAACUUUGUAUCUGCCUUGAAAUUCUGAUACUGCAAAUUAAAGUGAAUAGUGCCAAUUGGGUAUGUUUAUCCGUCCAUCUGUGUGGACAGGCCUUGUAUUUCAUUUCAGAGAAUCUUUAAUAGCUGCCACAGCCUCUAAAGAAAUGCCUGUGUGACUUUUUCAUUUCUGAGGACUGUACUUAACAUUGCUCUGCUGAAGGAAGCUCAGCUGUACCUUAUCUCUGUACCCCGUGUGGGCCCUUGUGUGUAUUUUUCAAGAUGUAGCAGAGAUAGAUAGGGCGGUUCAGUCCAACGCCGUCCAUUUGGAUUUCAGUAGACCUCAAAUACCCUUUUCUUAUUAUAUGUCAUCUCUGAAUUAAUUUUUAAGUGUUUCAAUUAAAUUGCAACUGCUUUGAUAAACUUCUCUUAGCACAGUAGCAUUUUCGUGCUUCUUAAAUGGGAUGCUUGGAAAUGCCCACACUUUAAUGGACACUAUUAAUGUUACAGUUAAGGGCUUAAUUUGUUGGUCAAGAUAAGGGCCGAGGUAUCCCAAGCAUCCCUCUGUUUUUAUAGAGCUACAGCAAAAUCAUUUCUGGCCCGACUCAGUUGUCAGUGCCAGCUAUUAUCCUGACUCAAACCUCUUUACAACUGAGAAGUGCCUUGAUGUUGAUUUUUAUAUUUAUAUAUAAAAAAAACUCAGUCAACGGACAUCCAACCCACUUGUGCUUGUCUCUUUUUCUCUUUCUCUCCUUUCUCUGUAUUCACAGUUCUAAACAGACCAACCUGUGUGUCAGGAAAACGAUAUCCUCACACACAAUGAGAGAGAGAACGAACAUUAAAAGUUCAAACUGCGCAAAAUGGUAAAGAGUGAUUUGUCUAUGGGGUUAAGAGAGAUUUCUGUCUACCUGUCUCUCAAUACUCCUGUAGCUUUUCACUCUCAUGGUCAGUUGUUCAGCUGAAAAAUGGAUCGAUAAGAGUUGAAGCUCUCCGUGCCAAGUGACUCCUCAUAAAUGGAUACUUAAACUUUUUUUAAGACUUUUUUUUUUUUUGUGGGGGGUGGUGGGAUGAGUUGAGGAAGCCAAACGGGCUCGGUGUUUAAAGUGAGAAAAUGAAAGCUGUGCCUCCUAAUGUCCUGUCUAAGUGGAUGUCUCUCUGUCUGAUGAAGCGUGAAGUGCUCUGUAACCCUAACAAAAUGACUAUCACUGUGUUCCCGUGAUUCUAAAUGGCCUUCUUCUCGGUGUAACUAUCUCUACCCCCAUCCUGCUCAGUAUGAAAUGGGAAAGUGAAAUGGAGGCCGUCCAUAAAUGGAGUAAUUGUGUGAAGGGCAGGUGUUUAUCGCAGCCUCAGCCCUCACACCGUGUACUGACCAAAACAGUCAAUUAACGAGGCUAAGAUUUAUAUUCCUCACUGUGAACAUACCAAAUAUUGACAAAGUUAGGCCAUCAGCAGUUAUAUAUUCCCUUUUUAAGAUGAAGUCUUGACAGUUUCCUAAGAGAAACUGUGAAACUGUCACAUCCUGUCACUGCUGAUUAAAACUUACACUUAAAAACCAGAUAUGUGCAGUUACUGGAACUGUUUAACCUUCACUAGCUUGAAUAAAUGUUAUUUUACACCAUUAAAUUGGGGUGCAUUUCUUAAUACUGCUUAAAGAACAGGGACUGCAUUUAAGUAAAAAAAAAAGUUUAAAAAAAAUGUUGGUUAUUUGCUGAAAAAUGAGUCAUUCUGUAACAGGUUACAUGUACGUUAUAUUAGGCUGAAAGCUAUUGUUACUUUGAACUUUUUUGUACCUUUUUUUCCCUGACUGAUACUUGAGUGAACAAUCAAAUUGUAGUAAUCUUAAUGCUGGUUCCCAUGAAACAGUCUUUACCAGGUGUCAGUAGUCCACUGUUAAUGCUGCUAAAUAACAUAGCAUGAAAUUAGGGAGGUAGAUAAUUCAUUUAGGUGUUUAGUGUCUCAUGAUAGUCAUGUGGUGUAGGAAGGAAUUUCACAUCAAUGUGUCAAAAUUGUACCCUUUUUUUUAACUGAAUGGAUUGAACUGAAGACCAAUAUUUAUUAGUUAUUGAGACAUUGUAAUAGAGAAAUGGUUAAUAAAUUUUUAGUCUAA